AAUGUAGUGAUUGUAUAGAUUAAUCCUGUUGACGUGCACAAAAAACUAGGGCUGACUUUGUUUGUAUACUAGUAUCACACAGAAGUUUAGGAAGGAUAAAUUUGUAAUCUCAGUGAAUUGCACAAAGUAAUUCUGAACUGUAUUUAGCAACUAUGUAUUCUUUCGGUUAACAAGCAGCAUUAAUCAAGGAAAAUCAAUUAGUUUUGAAUUUAAAGAUCGAAGGGUUUUCUGAAUUCAAUCUUGAAAUCCUAUCCAAAGAUUCACUCUCAAACAUGAAAUACGCAAAUGGAGAUGGUCGGUGUUUUUAAUCAAUUUUCGGGCGCACAGUGUCUAAUCCCAGGUCAUAGCAGAUGAACAGUUACGAGCUGUGAUAAUCUCAGUCAAGAAUCACUCCCUUGAAAAGGAUGGAGAAUUGCUGCAGCUCUGGGAAGGAUAUUGCUGGUGCUCGGAAACGUGUAUCUGAGUCAUCAAAAACAGGUCUUCCGGGAUAGCAGCAAUAUUCUACGCUAUAUUAACGGGAUGACGGGAUCCCUUUUGUCGUGAGAAUAUUUUCAAUUUUUGAUUAAUGAUGCUAAGGAAUUCUUAGUCAAUUAAUGGUACAUGGCUUUGACAGUCAUCCAUGUUAAUUUACGAUGAUUUGAGUGGUAUAUUCACUUGCUGAACGUCUGAAGUCUUACGUUCGUGUUCCAUUGGUUGAAAGGGAUAAGGUGCGUCAUUAUAGAAUUUGUUUUGUAUUGCGCAUAAGCUUUCUCUUCUGUCUUGACAACAUCAUAUUUGUUUAAUUUCUUUCUAAAUUUAAUUAUAUGUACGUUGUCUGGUACAGUGCAAUAAUAAUUCUUUUAAGUGUAUGAUCUUAAUUGACGGUUGCCUUUAGUGUUAAAUUUUUCCAUUUAAUUUGUAAUGAGUUAAUAACGUUAUUUCUGUUGAUUUAUUCUCAGGAUGCACUUAAAAAUGUAAUACCAUCUCAUACAUCUUCCGGCAUCUCAUCGAGCAAAUCAGUCGGUCCAUGGAAGGUGGGACUGGUGAACACUCAGCUACAGAGCAAGGUUUUUACUAUCCACCUACUAGCUGUUACCCUCAUGGCUACCCAUCUAGACAUUUAACUGUUGAUUUAAUAGGUCUUUCGAAAUGAUAACUGUAAGUUAUAAUCAUUUGGAUGACAUGGGUUCUCUGUAUGCUGGCAGUUCUUUCUGUAAAGUAUUUUCUUCAUUUGUCCUUUUAUUUUGAUCCGAGUUAUCUUUUUUAUUGUUUAAUUUAUCCUCACACAUUCAUUUUGCAAAUUUGCUAAUUCGAUGAUGGUGGAGAACAAUCUAAUUCUAAUGUUUUUUGCUCACGGUCAGAUGUGAUUCUCAUCUCUACUAUCUGCCUACCUAUAACAGUUACCUAGCUACCUCAUAUAUAUGUGUUGAUGAGAAUCAGCCCUACUAUUCUACAUCUUGAUAUCAACAGAAUGCGGAUGCAUAUGAUCAGAAGUCAUGCGACAAUACUACUUGAAUGCAGAGCAAGCUAGCAAUGCCACACACGAGACAACUACUGUACAUGGUGGAGCAGAUCUCUCUUUGAGCUCUGAUAUUUCAGAAAAUACAAUUGGUUCUGAUGAUCGAAUGAAAAGAUACAACUUUCUUAAUAGUAAAGCACCGAUAGGAAAACUGUGCUGGGUUCAGCCUUGCCGUCAUCUUCAAAACACAGAUUUAUCGUGAUCCAUUGACACCAGUAGCCAACUGAGAAAAUGUUAAUCCUAAUUUUGAGUCGCAAAAUAGAUCCCCCAACUCUAAUGCUGUAUUUUGAACUCUGAAUGGUAUGGCUUCUUACACAAUAUCUAUUUAAAUAAAAAUCAUAGUUUUGUUCAUUCUGAUUAAGCACAGGGGUCUAUAUUCUGAAUAAUAGAGCAGGCAGAUGCACAACUAGGUAUGGUCUGAUACUCCCAACUCAUUAGUUUCAUGUUUUUUUACGGUGCAAAGGACCAUUUUGAUAUAGAGUUUUAACUUAAACCUUAUCCUACAUGCUUCAGACAAUGUCUGCUCUGGACAAAAUCACAAGUGCUCUGUAGUACAAGGAUUCGGAUGCUAAAUUAUCUGUUCCUUUAUUUCAAGAAGCAGGUGCCUGCUAAGGUCUUGCCAGCUAUAUGUUUGGAUGAAAAAGGAUCUCAAGUGAUGUUAUUGUGUCGACGCAAGUUCAGAGAGACUAAAGGGAUAAUUGUCAACACAUUCGCGGAGCUGGAAACGUUUGCUGUUCAUUCAAGUUGCAGGCUUUUGCAGUUUUUAGUGCAGUAUUGAGAGGUCUACUUCAAACAUCGCCUCUAGCUGGGGUUGCAACUCUGCAAGGGAGGUGAAGGAUAAGAGAAAGGCUAAAGUGCUGCAAGAAUACUGCUUUAACAAUAAUGGCCUAUUAUCUCAGGAAGCAAUACGUAUGUUGGAUGAUGGAAAGUUACGCUGCUACUCAGAGAUUUUUAACAGCUCUGAGAUUGGCCUGGAUUCAGUGGUGAGUGCUUGUGUUUAUGCAAAGGAUGUUCUGCACAAUGCUAUCUUGGGGUCUGUAGCAAAUUUACUCCCAAAGUGGGGAUGUUUCAAGGCGUCAAUGAGUGGAGAUUCGGAGGCUGAUGGGUUGAGGAGGGUUAAUCAAGAGAAACUCACCAUUAAUCUAUUUAAAGCUACGAGAGAUGGUGAGGGAUUAGCAACUCCAUAACUUAAUCCAAGGUCAUGUUUAACCAAUGUUUAUAUGCUGUCAUUAGCAAGUUUGGUGCAAGUGUUGAAUUUCGCAUAGCCUGAUGGAAAAUUAGCAUCCGCACUUGACUGGUGCCAUCGGGAUAGUUUUUAUAUAUGUUAUAGAAACCAUUUUCAUUUCUGUUGUGUUCGUAGGUCAUCAAAUGGACUUCCUAUUAAGUUGUUGAUCCGAAGAAUGAGGAUUUGUAUGGCUCAUAGGCUCUGGAUUCCAUAAGUAUGCUACAUAUGCAAAAUAUUCAAAAGAAGAAAUAAUAUUGGGAGACUUAAUUUUUAUUUCA